rnacentral:rRNA from 1 species
UGGGGAAUAUUGCACAAUGGGGGGAACCCUGAUGCAGCGACGCCGCGUGGGUGAAGAAGUAUUUCGGUAUGUAAAGCCCUGUCAGCAGGGAAGAAGAAUGACGGUACCUGACCAAGAAGCACCGGCUAAAUACGUGCCAGCAGCCGCGGUAAUACGUAUGGUGCAAGCGUUAUCCGGAUUUACUGGGUGUAAAGGGAGCGCAGGCGGCGCGUUAAGUCUGAUGUGAAAACCCGCGGCUCAACUGCGGGACUGCAUUGGAAACUGGCGGGCUUGAGUGCCGGAGAGGCAAGCGGAAUUCCUAGU